rnacentral:rRNA from 1 species
GAUGAACGCUGGCGGCGUGCCUAAUACAUGCAAGUCGAGCGAACGGACGAGAAGCUUGCUUCACUGAUGUUAGCGGCGGACGGGUGAGUAACACGUGGAUAACCUACCUAUAAGACUGGGCUAAAUUCGGGAAACCGGAGCUAAUACCGGAUAAUAUUUUGAACCGCAUGGUUCAAGAGUGAAAGACGGUCUUGCUGUCACUUAUCGAUGGAUCCGCGCUGCAUUAGCUAGUUGGUAAGGUAACGGCUUACCAAGGCAACGAUGCAUAGCCGACCUGAGAGGGGGAACGGCCACACUGGAACUGACACACGGUACAGACACCUACGGGAGGCAGCAGUAGGUAAUCUUCCGAAAUGUGCGAAAUCCUGACGGAGCAACGCCGCGCGAGUGAUGAAGGUCUGCGUAUCGUAAAACUCUGUUAGUAUGGAAGAACAUAUGUGUAAGUAACUGUGCACAGCUUGACGGUACCGAAUCAGAAAGCCACGGCUAACUACGUG